CUACAGUCAUACAGAACUACUGUGAUUUAAUUGAAAGGGCUGCUAAAUGGCAAUUGUAGCGUGAACACAGAUACUGAACCCAGAGCAAUGAACUAGAAAGAAUAAAACUUUAAGAGAAUUUCCAGUCAGAGAAGUUAUUUUGGAUUUAUUACUUUGCUAAAGACUUUCACUGUUGCUUGGAAUAAAAGCAAAUGGGACUGUAGACUGGAUUGUAGUAAACGCCUAUGUAAACUAAACCCUUUGCACUAGAAGACAGCAUGCAUGGCAGCAAAGGAGUCAAGUGAUUAAAGCAGGGGCAAAAUCAAUCCUGAAAGAGGAUCAUACAAAAGCAGAUGGAGGCACAUCCCAUUGUUGUAUGAGGAAAUCCUACCCAGGAAAAUAGAAAGGGACGUACAGUCUGGUUCCCCUGUUCUCCUAGCACCUGGCGUGGCAUGGCCAACAUGGACAGGAAGGUUAUCAGUAGCCAAGUGCCUGGCCAACCUUCCAGAGGAGAGAAGGCAAGGGAGGAGAUGUUUGCUCAUCUCAUGAAUGGGUCCCACCAGAAGGCAAAAAUCCCAAAGGAAUGGAGAGAAGCAUUUAUCCUGCAAGACAAAAAAGAGAGAGAGGAGGACAAAGAGCCUGCCAAGAAGCUGUUAAAGGAGCACAUGGAUCAACUGGCCACAAAAAGGGACUUGCAGGGAAGGAUGUUGGACAUGAUGCAAACACAGACAAGUUUCCUGGAGAACGUGGUUGCACUGUGCUCAUGUGUAACACUCCAACAUAGUCCUCUCCUGCAGCCAGAUGAGAACACAGGGCAUUGAGAACCUCCUUUCAGUCAUACAGCUGCAGGACACAGACCGUUCCCAAGCCAUCCCACCCUGCAAGACAAGGUGAACAGCUACCAUCGCACCUAUGGAUCUUUUGUGCACAAACAUGUUAGCUCUGCACUUCGGCUAUUUCUGCACCAUUUUAGUCGGUUUUGAGUUUGCACUGUCUUGUUAGGUGUCACAGCAAUUUUUUUUUAUUAUUUACAAUUGCACUCAGUUGAAAACUGUCAUUAAGAUAAGAUUCAUCUCUCCCCAAUACCACCUGUUCUUAAUAAA